rnacentral:rRNA from 1 species
UACGAAGGGGGCUAGCGUUGCUCGGAAUUACUGGGCGUAAAGGGCGCGUAGGCGGCGCAGUUAGUCAGGCGUGAAAUUCCUGGGCUCAACCUGGGGACUGCGCUUGAUACGGCUGUGCUAGAGGGUGGAAGAGGCUCGCGGAAUUCCCAGUGUAGAGGUGAAAUUCGUAGAUAUUGGGAAGAACACCGGUGGCGAAGGCGGCGAGCUGGUCCAUUACUGACGCUGAGGCGCGACAGCGUGGGGAGCAAACAGG